rnacentral:rRNA from 1 species
AUGGCGGCAAAAAAACAUCUUUUCCGCUUUGGAUCUUUCGCGAUUAAAGACGGGUCUAAGACACAUUUCUGGGAGGACAUCUGGCUAGGCAAUGCCAGUCUCCGGGAACAAUAUCCAGCUUUGCACCGCAUUGUUCAUGAUAAGAAUGAAACUCUUGCGCAGGUGCUCAGUUCUUUUCCACCAGAUAUUUCUUUCAGGCGGGAUUUGAUUGGCCCCCGUCUUGUGUCAUGGCAACAUCUUUUGUUCCGAUUGGAUACGAUUAAUCUGACACAAGGACGAGAUGUGUUCCGCUGGAACCUCACUGCAUCUGGGUCCUUCACAGUCGACUCGAUGUACCGUGCGCUCACGCAUUCAGAGGUCCUAGUGGAUAAUAACAAGAAAAUCUGGAGAUCGAAGAUUCCACUGAAAGUUAAGAUCUUCAUGUGGUACCUUCGGAAGGGAGUGGUGCUAACCAAAAAUAACCUCGCUCGUCGCAACUGGCAUGGAAGCAAGAAGUGUGGCUUUUGUACUCAUGACGAGACAAUCAGACACCUCUUUUUCCAGUGCAAGUUUGCACGUUCUAUAUGGUCAAUCAUCCAAAUAGCGUAUAAUCUUUGUCCGCCCAUAGGUGUUGCCAAUAUUUUUGGUCACUGGCUGGAUGGUAUUCCUUAUAGAUUCAAAAGAGCGUAUGCCUUAUUAUGGUCGCUUUGGCUAUGUAGAAAUGAUCUGAUUUUUAAUGACAAACACUCUUCUCCUUUGCAGGUUAUUUUCUGUUGUACGCAAUCUCUUCGUACGUGGUCUAUACUUCACCGUAUGGAGUUCCAACCGCUGUGCAAGGCGGUGUGUACGCAAUUGGAGCGAGUGGCCAUGAAGGUUUUUUCCCAACAUCGGUGGCAGCAUAACCUCUGUAUCGGCCCAUCACAUCCUUCAACAUAG